rnacentral:rRNA from 1 species
GACGAACGCUGGCGGCGUGCUUAACACAUGCAGGUCGAGCGGUAAGGCCCUUUCGGGGGUACGACGAGCGGCGAACGGGUGAGUAACACGUGGGUGACCUGCCCUCAGCUCUGGGAUAAGCCUGGGAAACUGGGUCUAAUACCGGAUAUGACUCCAUGACGCAUGUUGUGGGGUGGAAAGCCUUGUGCGGCUGAGGAUGGGCCCGCGGCCUAUCAGCUUGUUGGUGGGGUGAUGGCCUACCAAGGCGACGACGGGUAGCCGGCCUGAGAGGGCGACCGGCCACACUGGGACUGAGACACGGCCCAGACUCCUACGGGAGGCAGCAGUGGGGAAUCUUGCGCAAUGGGCGAAAGCCUGACGCAGCGACGCCGCGUGAGGGAUGACGGCCU